rnacentral:misc_RNA from 1 species
UCUAGUCUGUCAUCUUAGCAUCAACAUACAGACAUUCUCGAUAUGUGGCAGAUUUAAGUCAACUACAGACUGUAUUAGUCUCAAGCCAGCCAGUCAGUGCUAUAACACGGCCAUUGUGUCAAGAUGUGAAUUGUUAAGAUUAUAAAUUAUGGGCUUUGUGUAGAAUGGAUGAUUCAAUACAGGAAACAGUUGAUGUUACAAGGAAUGACAAAGCUUCAGGAGUUGGACUACCUACAACGACAACUUCACACUUUGUCAAUGUUCUUUUCCAAUACACACAAAUGAUGCUAUACAAAUAACAUUCAUGAUUUCCAGAGAAAGGAGAGCAGAUUUCUGUCCAUUUUUCCCCUAUAGAGAAUGCUCUGUUAUAUCUGUGUUAUAUCUGUGCUGUUUGCCCGGCACUGGAUUUCUAUAUAACCAAUCUUGUGACUGUGUUUGUGAUGUCAUGAGUGAUGUCCCUUUGUACCAUGCCACACUGUGAUGUCCUUUUUAUCGCUGUAUCCCCCAUUGAUCUCUCUCCAUUAAAAUUCAUUUAUCAUUUAUUGAACCAUUUGCUUCUAAAUGAUCCCCUGUUUUGGUCUGACAGGCACAGAUUGAAUUAUAGUGGAACUCUUGGAGAGGAUAGGAUGAUGACUGUUAUACAGUCAGGUAAUGCAGUACAUACAUGUACCGGUAUGUAUACAAAGUAGUAUAUAUAAGCCAAGAUUGUCAACAUCAUGAUUAAUUUAACACUAUGGAAUGGAAUGAUUCAAAGAGUAACUUUAUAAUUUACUCAUAAAAAACAUGAAAAGUCUCAUGCAGUGUUUUGCUGACACUAAAUACCCAGUUUGUUAUUUGACCUGAAUAUCCUUAUUUUUAAUUAAAACCAUAAAAAGACUGUUCAGCUCCUAGAUGCAUGUGAAGGCUUUUUUCCUUAAGCUUUUCAAACUAAUUAUGAACAUUCGCAAUUAAUCAGAAGAGAAUUAACAUCCCAUUAUCUUCACCACUGGCCAAUUGGCAUUGCUUCUAUGUGUAUUUUUGGAACACCAAAUGUAUUCACACAAAAGAUUGCAUAUUGUGAUCACAAAAAAAUUGUUACCAAUGGAAUAAAAUAAAUAAAUGAAUUUAUCU